GCCGCUAUGGUGAAAUCGGU
rnacentral:tRNA from 158 species